UACGUAGGGUGCAAGCGUUGUCCGGAAUUAUUGGGCGUAAAGAGCUCGUAGGCGGUCUGUCGCGUCGGAUGUGAAAAUCCAGGGCUCAACCCUGGACCUGCAUUCGAUACGGGCAGACUAGAGUUCGGUAGGGGAGACUGGAAUUCCUGGUGUAGCGGUGAAAUGCGUAGAUAUCGAGAGGAACACCUGCGGCGAAGGCGGGUUGCUGGGCCGACACUGACGCUCAGGCACGAAAGCGUGGGGAGCAAACAGG
rnacentral:rRNA from 1 species